UUAUAGACUGCAUGCAUACUUGUCUAAGACUUGAGAAAUGUAAAGUCAGAGGCCACUUAUAUUUAGAAUUUCAGGAAUAUGUAUUAUUGAUUGAAAUGAAAGACCUUAGAGACCUGAACUGUUAAUAUCUCAUUUAUGGGAACAAAAUAAAAACAAUUGUUGCAACUUAGCAUGAUUUUUGAGAGAUGGUGAUGGUAGAGAAUCACUUCAGGGAAAGGGAGAAGGUUUAGCUGACAAGUGGGAGAAAGAAAGGGUAUCCUCUGUGUGGUGUCUAUGCAUGUAUGUUGGGCAAAUCUGCAGUGAGGAAGCAGCCAGUGAGGGAAGGGAGAAAGCCAAGGAAAUGAUCAGGGCAACACAAUCCCCUGAUCCAAACAACUCUCCUGUAUUUAUAUUAGGACUAUAUGAGACUGGUCAACCUUGCAAAAUUAGUGACUACAUUUCAUUAGCUAUAUUUAGGCCGAAUUAAAUUUGAAUUCAAUCACUUUUGAUUCUGAGGUCCAUCUCUUUUUACUAUUUCCCAUUCUUGUGGCAGUUACUAUGUAGUCAAAACCAAGUAUGACAGAUGAAGAGAGCUCCAGGGCUAGAAAACUAAAAGGUUGUGAGGAUAAUUUGAAUGGGACUUGUGUCACCUUGUUGAUUGCAAGGUGGAUUCCCUGAUGGCCUGGCCAGCUGCUAUGACUGCCCUCUUUGUCCUCACCAUGCCAUAGGCCGUCUCUGGAGCUUCCCUCAAGGUCAAAAAGGACAAUCUUCCAAGACGGAGAAGGGCCAGUCUCUGUAAAGUCCUUUAGCGCAGAGGCCAUAAUAUCUACCACUUUCCACAGUGUUUGGCUCAGUAUGACUUUUAAGAAAUCAUUUACAGAAUUAGAAGUAUUUCCACUACGUGGAAUACAGAGCAUAUAAGGCCUGCCUUCUAGAAUCUUGUAACCUAAAUAAGAUUGGAUUUAUACUAAGAGAGAAGCAACUAAAAUAGCAUAUAAUAAAUGCAUUUUUUACAUUGUGUCCUAAUACCACAUACCAGCCCUGGUCAGAGAUGUGGAGAAAGUGGCUUCCUGUAGAUAACUGAGAGUCCACUGUGGUAGAAUAGGGAGGGUGUACAUUGAAUCAGGGUAGGUACAGGCCUUUUAGAACUGGCUGAAAUUGAGGAGUCAGUAUCAGAUGUUGAGAAGAAGAUAUUUCAAAUAGAGAGAACCUUGGUGGAUAAAAUCGGAUUUUGUCUCUUCAGCCCAAAGUCUACUACAACACAGACUUAAGGCAUCUCUUGAAAACAAAGUUUCACAUGGUAUCUGGUUAUGUUAUUGGUCCAGGCUCUAGAUUUGUACUUCAACAGCCCUUUCCCUCCACCUCCGAGUGUGGGAUUACAAAGGAAAGCACCAUAGAUGGCUUCAAAGAACUUACGGCUUAGAGUGAAGACAGACGCACUAGUGUCUUGAGAAGUGACUCAGUAAGAUAAUUGAAUUGUAUGUACCAGAGGAAUAUGGUAGAAGAAAUAAGUCAUUCUGCCUGCACACAUUAGGAAAGGCUUUACAGAGAUAUCUUGCCUAAACAAAGACUUGAAGGAAUUUUUUGUAGAUUAGGUAGGGAAGUGCUGUCCUGGUAGAAGAAACUGUUUGCGAAGACAGAGCGGUGGGGGUGUCUGAUACGUUGGGACAAUUGCAAGUGUCGAAAAUGAAAAUAAGAAGUAAAAAGCAGCAUGAGGGGAAAAGGUGCUUGAUUACAAAUGCCUUAUCAGUUAUGCAAAGAGUAUAUAUUUUUAUGCUACAGUGUAGGGAAUAAGGAGUCAUUGGGAAUUCUUCACCAAGACAGAAGGGAUGCGUGUAUCUCACUCCAGCAGCUUCCUUCCUAGUCUUCUUUCCGGUGGUUGUUUCUGCCUUUCUUACCAAUGUGGCUGGUGGUGAGUGCCUUCUACAAAUGCUACCUCUUGACCCCUUGGGGAGAAGGGAUUCAUAUCAGUUGCCGGAUUUGGAGAGACCAAGUCCCAGCUUAUUUUUUUCCAACAGAGUUUUCCUUGCUUCAUGGUGUCACAACCUAUUGUUACUGGGUGCUAGGAUACAUUGGCCAUAUCUCUUGGGUGGAGAGCAGGGAAGACAAAAUCUUCCAAAACAGCAUAAACUCAGCUUCAUUCUGUAGUGUCCAUUUGACCCAAAGAAAUCCCAUGUCUCCAUGCAAAGAUAAAAGGAGGGAAUGUUACCCUUUUCUAUCAAGUUGUCUUUUUUCCUGCUGGAAGUGAGAAGGGGUGGAGGCUGUUGAGGGGAAAAUGCAUGCAGGAAAGCUCAUCAGGUUCAUCAAGUGUGCAACUCAAGCAAACCUCUAUAUAAGGGAACGGGAUUCCAGCGUUCACUUCUUGGAGCAUCUGCAGUCUCUAAAAGAGAUUAUCUUGGUUGACCCUUUCUUGAUGUAGGCAAGAGAAAUAUACUUCAUUCCCCACUUGACCUGCAAGUCAUUAGUCUGAUGAUUGUCCCCACCACUCUUCCUUUAUCUUCUGUUUUAUAGAACUGGGCUCAGGCAGGAGAGAUGGACCCCUCCUAGAGUAUUGAUGGUGAGAACGCUAGUUGUGAGACCACAGUAAAAGUUCCACUGAGCAUCCUGUCUCAGAAUAGCCACUUUAGAGGCAGUGUAGAAAAUUGAUGGAACCCUGUUAGGAGGCUAUAACCAUAGUCCACUGAGACAUGAUGGGAACAAGGCUAAGAAGGAGAGGAAAGAAAGUUAGGAAGUAGAUUUGAAAGUGAAAAUGAUAGAGAAAUACAGGAGGGUAAGAAAAAUAGGUAUAUCUAAGAUAUUUAAACUUUUAUUUCAGGAAGAGAUUUCAUGAUGGUGUUAAUCACUCAGAUGAGAAAUCUGAGGCUAGGAGUGUUAGGGGCAGAGUGGAGGAAGAGGCAAGGGAAUGAAGAGAAGAGAGUUCAGUUUGGGGCAUAUUACAGUGGAGCUGCAUGAGAUAAAGUCUAGGCAGAAAGAGCUGCAUACUCCAAAAUAUAGAAAUAUGAAAACGUAGAAAAUAUAAGAAAGGAAAAGAGGUGUGACAGAGGACAUCCACAUCUUCGAUGAAAAUGCAAUGAGAACAGUUAACUGAUUCUAGAGCAAAAGAACUCUAUGUCAUGAGAUGGGAAAAACUUCUUUAUCCUGAGGUGCUAGAGGAGGGUUGUGUGGCAAAGAAUGUAACAGAUGUUAAGAGUAGAGCUUUGGGUAGCUGCCAGAUCAGAAAGUGUAUAAAAGAAGGGUAUAAUGGGAGCAACAAAAUGGAGCAUGCAUUCACUGUAUCAGCAAAUGCGUUGGGAGAGGGAAUGUACUAGGAUUAGGACAUGGCAUCUAUCUGGUAAAAUAAGAAUAGGAGCUAUGCAUUUACUUGUUUGAAGAUUGUGUAAUCAGCCAGUUACUAACAGCACAAGACUCUUCUAGAGGAUUUAGGAACACCUGAGCUGCACUAAAGGGGAAUUGAGCUAAGGAUGUCAUUUUUCCAGAAUCAUGAUCUUCAAAACUCAACACUAAUGCCCGAUUCCUUGGCCUGCUGUCUAUGGGAAGGCCAUGUUUAAUAACAUAAAGUCAUUAACAAAUGCUUUGGUACCUCAAGACCAGAGUGUGCCUGCAUCUACCUUUCCCAAAGCCUAUACUUUCUUGGGAAGGGUUCUUUUUGGAUCUAAAAAUAUGUAGGGAAGGGAUGUAAUUAUGCAAAAUAGAUAGCAGCAUUUUCUUUCACUCAGGUAUUUACUUUCACCUCCCAUGUUUGCAGAAUAUUGCCACCCGC
rnacentral:lncRNA from 10 species